GAUGAACGCUGGCGGCGUGCCUAAUACAUGCAAGUCGAGCGAACGGACGAGAAGCUUGCUUCUCUGAUGUUAGCGGCGGACGGGUGAGUAACACGUGGAUAACCUACCUAUAAGACUGGGAUAACUUCGGGAAACCGGAGCUAAUACCGGAUAAUAUUUUGAACCGCAUGGUUCAAAAGUGAAAGACGGUCUUGCUGUCACUUAUAGAUGGAUCCGCGCUGCAUUAGCUAGUUGGUAGGGUAACGGCGUACCAAGGCAACGAUGCAUAGCCGGCCUGAGAGGGUGACCGGCGACAUUGGGACGGAGAGACGGCCCAGACGCCUACGGGAGGCAUCAGGGGGGAAUAUGGCACAAUGGGCGGAAGCCUGAUGCAGCAACGCCGCGUGCGGGAGGACGGCCUUCGGGUUGUAAACCGCUUUCGCCGGUGAAGAAGCGUGAGUGAAGGUAAUGGGUAAAGAAGCACCGGCUAACUACGUG
rnacentral:rRNA from 1 species